GGACGAACGCUGGCGGCGUGCUUAACACAUGCAAGUCGAGCGGUAAGGCUCCUUCGGGAGUACACGAGCGGCGAACGGGUGAGUAACACGUGAGUAAUCUGCCCUUCACUUCGGGAUAACCGCCGGAAACGGUGGCUAAUACCGAAUACGACGCGCUUUCGCAUGAGAUGCGCGUGGAAAGUUUUAUCGGUGGAGGAUGUGCUCGCGGCCUAUCAGCUUGUUGGUG
rnacentral:rRNA from 1 species